GAGUUUGAUCCUGGCUCAGGAUGAACGCUAGCGGCAGGCUUAACACAUGCAAGUCGAGCGCGAAAGCACUUCGGUGUGAGUAGAGCGGCGGACGGGUGAGUAACGCGUAAGAAUCUACCUAGUAGUGGGGGACAACUCGAGGAAACUCGAGCUAAUACCGCAUACGCCCUACGGGGGAAAGCGGGGGACCUUCGGGCCUCGCGCUAUUAGAUGAGCUUGCGUUGGAUUAGCUUGUUGGUGAGGUAAUGGCUCACCAAGGCUACGAUCCAUAGCUGGUCUGAGAGGAUGAUCAGCCACACCGGGACUGAGACACGGCCCGGACUCCUACGGGAGGCAGCAGUGGGGAAUAUUGCGCAAUGGGCGAAAGCCUGACGCAGCCAUGCCGCGUGUGUGAAGAAGGCCUUAGGGUUGUAAAGCACUUUCAAUUGGGAGGAAAAGUUAACGACUAAUACUCGUUAGCCUUGACGUUACCUUUAGAAGAAGCACCGGCUAACUCCGUGCCAGCAGCCGCGGUAAUACGGAAGAUCCAAGCGUUAUCCGGAAUCAUUGGGUUUAAAGGGUCCGUAGGUGGAUAAUUAAGGCAGAGGUGAAAUCUUGCAGCUCAACUGUAAAAUUGCCUUUGAAACUGGUUAUCUUGAGUUAUUAUGAAGUAGUUAGAAUAUGUAGUGUAGCGGUGAAAUGCAUAGAUAUUACAUAGAAUACCAAUUGCGAAGGCAGAUUUACUAAUAAUCAACUGACACUGAUGGACGAAAGCGUGGGUAGCGAACAGGAUUAGAUACCCUGGUAGUCCACGCCGUAAACGAUGGUUACUAGCUGUUUGGACUUCGGUCUGAGUGGCUAAGCGAAAGUGAUAAGUAACCCACCUGGGGAGUACGUUCGCAAGAAUGAAACUCAAAGGAAUUGACGGGGGCCCGCACAAGCGGUGGAGCAUGUGGUUUAAUUCGAUGAUACGCGAGGAACCUUACCAGGGCUUAAAUGUAAGUUGCAUUAGUUAGAGAUAGCUAUUUCUUCGGACCACUUACAAGGUGCUGCAUGGUUGUCGUCAGCUCGUGCCGUGAGGUGUCAGGUUAAGUCCUAUAACGAGCGCAACCCCUGUUGUUAGUUGCCAGCGAGUCAUGUCGGGAACUCUAGCAAGACUGCCAGUGCAAACUGUGAGGAAGGUGGGGAUGACGUCAAAUCAUCACGGCCCUUACGUCCUGGGCUACACACGUGCUACAAUGGUAGGUACAGAGAGCAGCCACUGCGCGAGCAGGAGCGAAUCUACAAAACCUAUCACAGUUCGGAUCGGAGUCUGCAACUCGACUCCGUGAAGCUGGAAUCGCUAGUAAUCGGAUAUCAGCCAUGAUCCGGUGAAUACGUUCCCGGGCCUUGUACACACCGCCCGUCAAGCCAUGGAAGUUGGAAGUGCCUGAAGUCCGUCACCGCAAGGAGCGGCCUAGGGUAAAGUCGAUAACUAGGGCUAAGUCGUAACAAGGUAACC
rnacentral:rRNA from 1 species